AUGGCAAGGUCCAACCUACUCAAGAAAGAUUUCCUUCAUUGCACAGCCCUAAGCUUGGUACAAGGAUUUCCAAAUGGUGUCCUCUUCUGGAUAUUUUCCAGCUUGUCGAUCUCAUUCUUAAACUUGUACUCCAGGAGUGUCCAGACCAAAGUAGAAUGCACAGUUAUUAUUGCUUUCCAUGAUGUGGGCACUAUAUCUGCUGAUUCAACCUAGCAUAGCUCUAGCUUUUAUACCACUGCACUCUGUUGUUGAUAAAUAGUUAGCUUGUGGUCUGUAAAGAGUAUGGAUCUUUUUUGCUGUCAAACCAGAUGUCACCCAACAUCGUAAAUAUGUGCAUUUGAUUUUUACUGGCUAAAUGUAGUACCUUACAUUCAACCCUGACAACAUUCAUUUUGUUGAUAUUAUCCUUCAGUCUAUUAUGGUCAUUUUGAAAUUUGGUUCACUGUUUUUCAAAAAUGUAUUGUAGCCUAUAAAUGAUUCAACAGUAGAUGUAUAUUCAAAGCAGAGUUAAGCUUUGAAUUUUUUAAAAGUAUGACAGGGUUAACUACAUGUUUAAUUUUCC
rnacentral:lncRNA from 11 species